rnacentral:rRNA from 1 species
GUAACACCAACUGGAGGACCGAACCCGCAUCUGUUGCAAUAGAUUGGGAUGACUUGUGGCUAGGGGUGAAAGGCCAAUCAAACUCGGCAAUAGCUGGUUCUCCGCGAAAGCUAUUUAGGUAGCGCGUCUGGUCUCACCUUCGGGGGUAGAGCACUGGAUGGGGAAGGGGGGCGCGAGCCUUACCAACUCUAACCAAACUCCG